CACAUUAACCAUGAUGCCAAAUUAAGCUAGUUUCUUCUGCCUGAACAUGGUCCACAUCAUUCCAUUCUCCGCCUAUUCAUCUAACUAUCUAAAAGCCCCUUAUGAUUAAUCCGAAGAUCCAGUAACAAAUAGGUAACCUUUGAAUAAUUAGUGAAGAUAAUUUUUAUUUACUGGCAUGGGACUUAAAACAACUGAUGAACAACCUUGAUAAGUUGCUGAUGAUAUGGUGAAAGCAGAGAAGUUACAUAAUUUUAACCUUGUGGUGAUGACGGUGACGUGCUUCUAAUUUGUGGAUGGUGUUUGGUGUGAAGAAACUAGGUAGUGGCACCUGCUGCCCUUGCCUUCCUAGACAAAAGAGGUCAAGAAUUUAGGAGGUGCCAGCAAAGAAACCUUGGCCUUUUACAGAUAGUGGAACAGGUGUUAUAGUCAUGGACAGAAUAAGCCUUUGCAUAUUGUAAUCACUGUGCUUUGCUUGCUAGUGGGAAUCCAGUAAUUGAAGUGUUAAUCACCAGAAUCAAAUCAAACAGCAAGAUAUGUCCUGCUGCAGCAUAUAAAAAUUACGCUGUUUCCCUGACAGAGGAUAAUGAGUCAUCAGAAUUGCUACAGGAAAGUGAAGUUAUGCAACCCUGACCAGUUUGUGCCGUAGAUCAGUGGAAUUUUUAGAAGAUGCUAAAAUAUUCCCAACCCUAUACAACUUCUGUGAUAGUUCCAUUGAUCAGUGGCCUCAUAUCUGCGAGUCAGGGCCCCAGUGUUUGCAAGUUGGUGGCCUGAUGUCUGCAUAUCUGCAUGCCAGCGGCCUGAUGUCUGUGAGUCUGCGAGCUAGUGGUCUAAUGCUGCAGUAAAAGUCUGGGACUCACAUGAGUGUUGUGACUGUGAAUGAAGUCACCGGAGAGACAGUGAAGCUGGUGGAUAUAGAAGUCUUUAUUCGGCAAAAUGAACAGCAGGCACCAUAUUUGUGAUACUUUUGGAAGAAGAGGCCUGUCGGACCCAAUAUUCCAUCACGUUUUUAUCUGCUAAAGGUCAAAGACAAAGAAACAGAUGCAUUAUGGGAAUGGAGCAAGAAGCGUGAACCUGGAUCAUAGCCUGGGAAAUCUGAAGCCUGGAUAAAGCUGGGAGCACUGGGGUGUUUAGAGCCUGCGAUUUACAGUUUGGAGAUUGUUUGAGUGAUCCAGUGCUUUGCCAUCUCCAAGAAGAUUCUGGGAAGCCAGCACAUACUAGGAUGGUCUCAAUGCAAAGAAACUUCAAGACGGCACAGGAGCUGAUCUUUGAUACUAUUCCACUGUUUAAAAUGUCCAUUAAUCGCCAAUUAAAGAGUUGACGAAGAUUGUGACAUCGAGGCGAAUGCGGAAGGCGGGCGAGAGCUUCAGCACUGACUGCCUUCCUUUGUAUCGCUGCUGGAGAAGGAGUCUGUGAGUGGCCUACAGCUGUGUGGUUCACUGUCUCUCUGAGGGUAGGCCUCGCUGCCUCGUGUGGUGUCUUUUGAUAAUCAUCAGCAAUACUGUGAUUCUGCUUUUAUGGAUUGGACUAUUGUGUUUAUGGACAGUGGACUUUUUUAGACUUCCGGUUUUUGUAUUCUGUGUUUUUUUGUUGCCCGUUCCUUUUCCGUUUUGUUGUGCAAGGGGAGGAUGUUUGGGGGUUGAUGCUCUGGUAGUUUUUUGUGCGGAGGAGGCUGAUGUUCCCUUUCUAUUUUGUGUGAGAGGAGUGAGGUUUUGGGGUGUUGAUGAUUGGGAUGCCGCUCUUUUUGGUGUGGAUCUGAUGUUUCUCUCUGAAUGACUUUCAUGUUCUUUUUUUGUUUCAUGGCUAUCUGGCAAAUAUGAAUUUCAGAGUUGUAUGUGAUACAUUAUAAAAAUAAAUGAACC